rnacentral:rRNA from 1 species
AACGUACGCUGGCGGCACGCCUAACACAUGCAAGUCGAACGAAGUAGCAAUACUUAGUGGCAGACGGGUGAGUAACAUGUAGGUAUCUGCCCUAUGGCCUGGAAUAACACGAGGAAACUUGUGCUAAUACCGGAUAAGUCUUUACGGAGAAAGCUUUAUGCACCAUUGGAUGAGCCUGCACUUGAUUAGUUUGUUGGUGGGGUAAUGGCCUACCAAGACUGUGAUCAAUAGCUGAUUUGAGAGGAUGAUCAGCCACAUUGGGACUGAGACACGGCCCAAACUCCUACGGGAGGCAGCAGUGGGGAAUCUUGCACAAUGGAGGAAACUCUGAUGCAGCGAUGCCGCGUGAGUGAAGAAGGCCCUUGGGUUGUAAAGCUCUUUCGUCGGGGAAGAAAAUGACUGUACCCGAAUAAGAAGGUCCGGCUAACUUCGUGCCAGCAGCCGCGGUAAUACGAAGGGACCUAGCGUAGUUCGGAAUUACUGGGCUUAAAGAGUUCGUAGGUGGUUGAAAAAGUUGGUGGUGAAAUCCCAGAGCUUAACUCUGGAACUGCCAUCAAAACUUUUCAGCUAGAGUUUGAUAGAGGAAAGCAGAAUUUCUAGUGUAGAGGUGAAAUUCGUAGAUAUUAGAAAGAAUACCAAUUGCGAAGGCAGCUUUCUGGAUCAUUACUGACACUGAGGAACGAAAGCAUGGGUAGCGAAGAGGAUUAGAUACCCUCGUAGUCCAUGCCGUAAACGAUGUGUGUUAGACGUUGGAAAUUUAUUUUCAGUGUCGCAGCGAAAGCGAUAAACACACCGCCUGGGGAGUACGACCGCAAGGUUA